ACCCGCCGGAGACUGAGGGGAAGGAGAGGCACAGGCUGCGCUCUCCUUCCCUCACACAGGACGGCAGCGGCCAGCGGCAGCGGUAUUGAUGGGCCAAAAUAUCUGGCAGCUAUAGAAGUGGGUGAAGAUACAGCCAGCCUGUCCUGGGAAGCUGCUCGAGCUCAGAUAGAUUGAUAUAUAUUAUCAUACGCAUCCCCUGAUGGAUUCUGUAAGGAGGUGACUGUGAAUAAAAAGAAGACCUCCACUGCUCUGACUGGCCUUACCCCCGGCAUGGAGUAUGUCUUCCAUAUAUGGGCAGAGAAGGGCAACAAGAGGAGCAAGAGAUCCAGUGUUACAGCUUUGACAGGCGGCAAUCAUCAUGUAUGGAGAUCAUAUUGAUGCUUCUAAGAACUUGAGCUGGACUCCGCCUAUUGUGCGGAUGGAUGGUUACAUACUUACCUAUGAGGAUGAAAACCAUAUGGCAAGUGUCAUGUAAUGUACAUACCUGUAA